rnacentral:rRNA from 1 species
UGGGGGAUAUUGCACAAUGGGCGAAAGCCUGAUGCAGCGACGCCGCGUGGGGGAUGAAGGCCUUCGGGUUGUAAACUUCUUUUGCUCUGAACAAGGCAUGCCUUUGGGGUGUGUUGAGUGUAGGGGUUGAUUAGCGCCGGCUAACUACGUGCCAGCAGCCGCGGUAAUACGUAGGGCGCGAGCGUUGUCCGGAAUUAUUGGGCGUAAAGGGCUUGUAGGUGGCUGGUUGCGUCUGUCGUGAAAGCUCAUGGCUUAACUGUGGGUUUGCGGUGGGUACGGGCUGGCUUGAGUGCAGUAGGGGAGGCUAGAAUUCCUGGUGUGGCGGUGGAAUGCGCAGAUAUCAGGAAGAAUACCGGUGGCGAAGGCGGGUCUCUGGGCUGUUACUGACGCUGAGGAGCGAAAGCGUGGGGAGCGAACAGG